CCCCCCCAAUGAUAGCAAACAUGUACCGUAAAGCCACGCCUCCCCCCUCCCCCAGCUACCACAUUUACAUGCCAUUCCUGUGCAUGUUAACCUGGUUCACACUAUCGGAAAAAAACAAGCUAAGCCCUUCCUUAGCUGAACUAGGCUGGUCUAGGGUGGUCUGGUUAAAUAUCUAGCAGCUGAACUAGGCUGGUCUAGGGUGGUCUGGUUAAACAUCUACCAGCUGAACUAGGCUGGUCUAGGGUGGUCUGGUUAAACAUCUACCAGCUGAACUAGGUUGGUGUAGGGUGGUCUGGUUAAACAUCUACCAGCUGAACUAGGUUGGUGUAGGGUGGUCUGGUUAAACAUCUACCAGCUGGACUAGGCUGGUCUAGGGUGGUCUGGUUAAACAUCUACCAGCUGAACUAGGUUGGUGUAGGGUGGUCUGGUUAAACAUCUACCAGCUGAACUAGGUUGGUGUAGGGUGGUCUGGUUAAACAUCUACCAGCUGGACUAGGUUGGUGUAGGGUGGUCUGGUUAAACAUCUACCAGCUGAACUAGGUUGGUGUAGGGUGGUCUGGUUAAACAUCUACCAGCUGAACUAGGUUGGUGUAGGGUGGUCUGGUUGAACAUCUACCAGACCCAUGUUCUACCAGAUUAGUCCUCCUAUAGUACCAUGUUCUACCAGAUUAGUCCUCCUAUAGUACCGUGUUCUACCAGAUUAGUCCUCCUAUAGAACCAUGUUCUACCAGAUUAGUCCUCCUAUAGUACCAUGUUCUACCAGAUUAGUCCUCCUAUUGUACCAUGUUCUACCAGAUUAGUCCUCCUAUAGUACCAUGUUCUACCCAGAUUAGUCCUCCUAUAGAACCAUGUUCUACCAGAUUAGUCCUCCUAUAGUACCAUGUUCUACCAGAUUAGUCCUCCUAUAGUACCAGACCCCAUGUUCUACCAGAUUAGUCCUCCUUUAGAACCAUGUUCUACCAGAUUAGUCUUCCUAUAGUACAAUGUUCUACCAGAUUAGUCCUCCUAUAGUACCAUGUUCUACCAGAUUAGUCCUCCUAUAGUACCAGACCCCAUGUUCUACCAGAUUAGUCCUCCUAUAGUACCAUGUUCUACCAGAUUAGUCCUCCUAUAGAACCAUGUUCUACCAGAUUAGUCCUCCUAGGUAUUGGAUGAAAUAAAAACCAUAUCUAGUAUGUAUGGGGCUGUGUGGAAACAGUGGAUUAUCUAGUAUGUAUGGUGCUGUGUGGAAACAGUGGAUUACCUAGUAUGUAUGGUGCUGUGUGGAAAAACGGGAUUAUCUAGUAUGUAUGGUGCUGUGUGGAAACAGGGGAUUAUCUAGUAUGUAUGGUGCUGUGUGGAAACAGGGGAUUAUCUAGUGUGUAUGGUGCUGUGUGGAAACUGUAGGUUAUCUAGUAUGUAUGGUGCUGUGUGGAAACAGUGGAUUACCUAGUAUGUAUGGUGCUGUGUGGAAACAGGGAUUAUCUAGUAUGUAUGGUGCUGUGUGGAAACAGGGGAUUAUCUAGUAUGUAUGGUGCUGUGUGGAAACAGUGGAUUAUCUAGUAUGUAUGGUGCUGUGUGGAAACAGGGAUUAUCUAGUAUGUAUGGUGCUGUGUGGAAACAGUGGAUUAUCUAGUAUGUAUGGUGCUGUGUGGAAACUGUGGGUUAUCUAGUAUGUAUGGUGCUGUGUGGAAACAGUGGAUUAUCUAGUAUGUAUGGUGCUGUGUGGAAACAGUGGAUUAUCUAGUGUGUAUGGUGCUGUGUGGAAACAGUGGAUUAUCUAGUAUGUAUGGUGCUGUGUGGAAACAGUGGAUUAUCUAGUAUGUAUGGUGCUGUGUGGAAACAGUGGAUUAUCUAGUAUGUAUGGUGCUGUGUGGAAACAGUGGAUUAUCUAGUGUGUAUGGUGCUGUGUGGAAACAGUGGAUUAUCUAGUGUGUAUGGUGCUGUGUGGAAACUGUGAGUCGUAGGAGCCUUUCAGUUGAAGAAAGAAUCCAUAAUGCCAGAUCUAGAUUUACCUCAAUUGUCCUGCCAGAUUAUGAAUUUAUUUAAAUGUUUAUCUUUAAAAAAAAAAAUAUUAACAUCAGGACAUCAGGGUACUCAGGCAGACGGGAUAGUUCUUCCUCAUUUGAUAAUGUUUUUAGAGUACAGUUGGCCAAAGCUCGAGACAGAUCUGUUCUUUUUAACUUGUAAACCAAUCAAGGGACCAAAGGUAGUGUUUUUUUUUUUUUAGAGCCUAUGUUUUGAUAAGCGUUUUGGCUACGUGCACAAAAGGUGGUGUGACGAUGACUAUGUCACAGUCCCAAAUGGCACCCUAUUCCCUACAAAGUGCACUACUUUUAGUGCACUAUAUAGGGGAUAGGGUGCCACCUGGGAUACAGAUCCUAUGCUAGAAGACACUCCCAAUAUACUGUAUAGUCCAAUAUGUGGAAAAAGCACCGUUUCUGAGGGUAGAAUUCACAUCUUUGGAUAACUUUUCAAAACAAACGAUGUGGUACCAUAUGUCAGCGUAUAUACUGUGUUGAUCAUGACAUCAUGAUGAUUGACAUGCGAUAUGGGGGGGGGGACCAAUGAGAAAAGGUUUAGUUGGAAGCUUUUGGGAUUUGUUAACCAUUUAUACCACAACAUGUUUUCCUGCGAUGGGGAUGAGUUGAUGUGUCUGUUUCGUUUAUGAAGUCGGAAAUAUGUAUAAAUAUAAUUUAUAUAUAUAUAUAUAUAUAUAUAUAUAUA
ensembl:lncRNA